CAACUUUUAUCGCAAAAGUACCAAAAUAUAUCUCUCGUAUAUAAGGAGUAGUUUAUGUUCCAACCAAGGUAUUGUGCCUUCAAAGGUCAAGGGUUUAGAACCCCUUCAUAUUUUUAGCUAAUUCACUUCGUCCAAUUUGAGAACGAUCUUAAAAUUAAAUAGGGUAAUAUGGUAGAUAAUAUUUUGAAAAGACUCUCCAACCCUAAAUAAGUUGGUCAUCGGAGCAUCUUUUUCGCCCUUCAGUGUCGCUAGUUCUUUUUUAGAAGGAAUAUCCUUCUCUUUCUAAGACUUGAGCUCAACUUUCACUAGACUCGGCUCCUCUUGAGAAGCCUUGAGUCCUUCAAGAGAAGGUUCCAACUCAACCUUUUAAGCAUUCCGACCCAUGGAAAGGUUCUUAUUCUCUUCACUCAAAAAUUUGACAUUUUUUUGACAAUUCAAACACCUUACUCCGUUAAUAUAUUGUCAUUUAGCUAAGGAAUCAAAGAACGGUGACUUUUAAGAUACAUAAAUUGUUAAAUUUAUGCACCCAUACACAA
rnacentral:lncRNA from 1 species